rnacentral:rRNA from 1 species
AUGUACAUGCCUACAACAUAGUGUUAAUGCACUAGAUCCCAUUAGAACUUUGUAGUUAAGCAUGCUUGGGCUAGAGUAGUACUGGGAUGGGUGACCACCCAGAAAAUCCUAGUAUUGUACAUG